AGAGUUUGAUCCUGGCUCAGAACGAACGCUGGCGGCGUGGAUAAGACAUGCAAGUCGAACGGAUUUUCUGAUGUAGCAAUACAUUGGGGAGUUAGUGGCGCAAGGGUGAGUAACACGUGGGCAACCUGCCCGGAAAUGGGGGAUAGCCCGCCGAAAGGCGGAUUAAUACCGCAUGCGACGAGGGGCGACAUCGCUCCGAAGUUAAAGUCGGUCGUAGCAAUACGGCUGACGUUUCCGGAUGGGCCCGCGGCCUAUCAGCUAGUUGGCGGGGUAACAGCCCACCAAGGCUAUGACGGGUAGCUGGUCUGAGAGGACGACCAGCCACACUGGAACUGAGACACGGUCCAGACACCUACGGGUGGCAGCAGUCGAGAAUUUUUCUCAAUGGGCGAAAGCCUGAAGGAGCGACGCCGCGUGGAGGAUGAAGGUCUUCGGAUUGUAAACUCCUGUCAUGAGGGAGCAAGACACUGCGUUAACUGCGCGGGUGUUUGAUAGUACCUCAAGAGGAAGAGACGGCUAACUCUGUGCCAGCAGCCGCGGUAAUACAGAGGUCUCAAGCGUUGUUCGGAUUCAUUGGGCGUAAAGGGUGCGUAGGCGGCUAGGUAAGUCAGAUGUGAAAUUCCGGGGCUCAACCUCGGAACUGCAUUUGAUACUGCUUGGCUAGAGUACUGGAGAGGAGACUGGAAUUUACGGUGUAGCAGUGAAAUGCGUAGAUAUCGUAAGGAAGGCCAGUGGCGAAGGCGAGUCUCUGGACAGUAACUGACGCUGAGGCACGAAAGCUAGGGGAGCAAACGGGGUUAGAUACCCCGGUAGUCCUAGCAGUAAACGGUGCACGUUUGGUGUGGGAGGAAUCGACCCCUUCCGUGCCGGAGCUAACGCGUUAAACGUGCCGCCUGGGGAGUACGGUCG
rnacentral:rRNA from 1 species